UAUGGCUCAGGAUGAACGCUAGCGACAGGCUUAACACAUGCAAGUCGAGGGGCAGCAUAGAAGUAGCAAUACUUGGUGGCGACCGGCGCACGGGUGAGUAACGCGUAUGCAACCUACCUAUCAGAGGGGAAUAACCCGGCGAAAGUCGGACUAAUACCGCAUAAAAACAGGGGCACCGCAUGGUGAUAUUUGUUAAAGAAAUUCGCUGAUAGAUGGGCAUGCGUUCCAUUAGGUAGUUGGUGAGGUAACGGCUCACCAAGCCGACGAUGGAUAGGGGAACUGAGAGGUUGGUCCCCCACACUGGUACUGAGACACGGACCAGACUCCUACGGGAGGCAGCAGUGAGGAAUAUUGGUCAAUGGGCGGGAGCCUGAACCAGCCAAGUCGCGUGAAGGAAGAAGGAUCUAUGGUUACGUAAACUUCUUUUGCAGGGGAAUAAAGUGCAGGACGUGUCCUGUUUUGUAUGUACCCUGAGAAUAAGGAUCGGCUAACUCCGUGCCAGCCGCGGC
rnacentral:rRNA from 1 species